GGAGAUUUGGGUAUAAUUCCCAAAAGGAGCAACACCUUUUUCUUUUGUUCCCACCUUUUAGUUGGGCAUUUUAGGGAGACUCCCGGGGAUAACCGGGGGGAAGGUGGGGGAUGAGUUAAUUUUUUUUGGCCUUUUGGCCCGGGGUUUACACAGUGGUUAAAUGGGCGGUGAAAGGGGGAGGAAAAGGGGGGAGGGGGGGUAAAUCUAAAAAACCGGUCUCA
rnacentral:rRNA from 1 species